CUAAAUACAUUUGUUAAAAUAAAGAAUAAAACUACAGAGAUUAAUAAGGAUAAAUAAAUGAAAUUUAAAAAUAUAAAAUAUAUAUUUUGAUAAGAUGAACUAUUUUGAAUGAAUGAAUUAAUUAAUUUCUGUCAAAUGCACUGUCAUUUCUAUCUAUUAUCUAUUAGAAAAUAAAAACUUUUUGUGUACAUUAUUUCUUGAAUAAAAUAAUUAUUGAACCAUUAAAACAAAUCUUUGAAUGUUACAAUAUAAUAUAUUUAUAUAAUAAUAGUAAUAUAUUAUGCAAGGUAAGGUCUAGUCCAAAUAGUCUAAAUAAAUGAUUAACUUCAAUAAUUAUUUUAAUUUGUUGACAAAUCAAAAGUUGAUUAAAUUUCAUUUAAUAUGGGUAAAAUCACCAUAUUAUUUUACAAUUUAAAAGUAAUAAAGCUAA